rnacentral:rRNA from 1 species
GACAGAGGGGGCAAGCGUUGCUCGGAAUCACUGGGCGUAAAGGGCGCGUAGGCGGGAUGGCAAGUCGGUCGUGAAAUCUCUCGGCUCAACCGAGAAACGUCGGCCGAUACUGCCGUUCUUGAGGGAUGCAGAGGAGACUGGAAUUCCCGGUGUAGCGGUGAAAUGUGUAGAGAUCGGGAGGAACACCGGUGGCGAAGGCGGGUCUCUGGGCAUUUCCUGACGCUGAGGCACGAAGGUCAGGGGAGCAAACGGG